rnacentral:rRNA from 1 species
AGAAUCAACGCUGGCGGCGUGCCUAACACAUGCAAGUCGCACGAGAAAGGGGAGCGAUCCCUGAGUACAGCGGCGCACGGGUGAGUAACACGUGAAUAAUCUACCUCCGAGUGGGGAAUAACUGAGAGAAAUCUUAGCUAAUACCGCAUAAUACCCACGGGUCAAAGCAGCAAUGCGCUUGGAGAGGAGUUCGCGGCAGAUUAGUUAGUUGGCGGGGUAAUGGCCCACCAAGACGAUGAUCUGUAUCCGGCCUGAGAGGGCGCACGGACACACUGGAACUGAAACACGGUCCAGACUCCUACGGGAGGCAGCAGUGGGGAAUAUUGCGCAAUGGGCGAAAGCCUGACGCAGCGACGCCGCGUGGGGAUGAAGGCCUUCGGGUUGUAAACCCUUUCAGCAGGGACGAAGCGAAAGUGACGGUACCUGCAGAAGAAGCGCCGGCUAACUACGCGCCAGCAGCCGC